rnacentral:rRNA from 1 species
GAUGAACGCUGGCGGCGUGCCUAAUACAUGCAAGUCGAGCGAACAGACGAGGAGCUUGCUCCUCUGACGUUAGCGGCGGACGGGUGAGUAACACGUGGAUAACCUACCUAUAAGACUGGGAUAACUUCGGGAAACCGGAGCUAAUACCGGAUAAUAUAUUGAACCGCAUGGUUCAAUAGUGAAAGACGGUUUUGCUGUCACUUAUAGAUGGAUCCGCGCCGCAUUAGCUAGUUGGUAAGGUAACGGCUUGCCAAGGCAACGAUGCGUAGCCGACCUGAGAGGGUGAUCGGCCACACUGGAACUGAGACACGGUCCAGACUCCUACGGGAGGCAGCAGUAGGGAAUCUUCCGCAAUGGGCGAAAGCCUGACGGAGCAACGCCGCGUGAGUGAUGAAGGUCUUCGGAUCGUAAAACUCUGUUAUUAGGGAAGAACAAAUGUGUAAGUAACUAUGCACGCCUUGACGGUACCUAAUCAGAAAGCCACGGCUAACUACGUG